rnacentral:lncRNA from 1 species
UUUCCUUUACCCUUGCUCUACCCCCCAAAGAGGAUCCGACACCCGAGAUUCCACCGGACGGUAGGAAUUCCGAUGUCUGAACGAGCGGGGUCUUACAUUCUUCCCCCCUUACAGAACAUUCGUCCCCGAAUGUUCAAACAAAAGCACAAACAAACAAUCAAAACCUCAAACUUGCGCUAGAACGCCACAAGCUUCUGCUGCGCUACUCUGAUUCUUCUCUCUUCUUUCUUCACUGACCUUACUCUUCUCUUCUGCUUUCUAUUCUACUCUUACUCUCUGCAGGUACCAUCCCGAAAGGAAAGAGAGAAAUGGUUAUGGGUACCAAGCACCACCUCUGAACCAAACUCUACCUCCCUGAUUGAUGGCCAACCUGACACUAGCCUGAAACCUCUGAACACUCGCUCUAUCUAUGGCACUAGGGCUGGUUCCUAGACCUGCCUGCUGCCCUCUCAAACUCAACUAAAACUCUCUACUAACCAUUCCUAUACACUCUACGAGCCUGACAGCUGACAUCAACCUUCUAGGCAUCCUACACGGUCCUCUCUGAAGCCUACCUCAGACCCACUCUACAUUUCGAUCCCGACCACCUUGCGCUGCAGACGCAAGUAUUACCAGCUCCACAAGUAGAAAACCAAUCCAUCCCCCGGCUGACAUCCAGACACUCAAGUCUAGGACCUCAUGCACGGGUGGAAGGCAUCUACUCUCAUCGGACACUGGCCUGAAUCUCAGCCACAGAUGGAUCCUACCCGGUCUACUAACCCAAAGAGAACACUCUACACCCAGAAGCUAUCAAUUCAACCUCUCAAAGGCUCCUAGAGCAACAACAGAAAAGGGAAACACACUAGAGCACAAACACACACAUCAGAACAUGAACAAGUGAGCGUACCUGGCAUCACUGCGUUCGAUGUGUCUGCUCCCCUUCCUGGAACACUGGCUUGAGCCACAACACCUGCAGCUCGCUGC